AAGGAGUCUAACAUAUCUGCGAGUAUUUGGGUGUCAAACCCGAGUGCGCAAUGAAAGUGAACGUAGGAGCCACGCGCAAGCUGCAGCUUCGACCGAUCUGGAUCUUUAGUGAUGGAUUUGAGUAAGAGCAUAUAUGUUGGGACCCGAAAGAUGGUGAACUAUGCCUGAAUAGGGCGAAGCCAGAGGAAACUCUGGUGGAGGCUCGUAGCGGUUCUGACGUGCAAAUCGAUCGUCCAAUUUGGGUAUAGGGGCCAAAGACUAAUCGAACCAUCUAGUCGCUUGUUCCUGC
rnacentral:misc_RNA from 1 species